CAUGAGGAGAUCAAACCUCUAAUUUGUUAUGUGGCUAGUAGCUGUUCAUAUUGAUGAGUGAUUUUUGUUGUGUGCCUGUCCUUGCACAUGCAUGGAUAAACUGAGUCAAGAUGCAAAUUGGCAUAGGGCCUGUCUUCUUGGAACUCAUAUAAAUUUUGCUGAAACUGUCUCUUUCAAGUGGAAAAUGGUUUAUUUAAAGAUUGCAGUUAUGGAAGAAUGGUCAAUGAUGUCUACUGGAAUUGAAGGUUACAAGAUGAUAUGAUGGUAUACUGAUUACAGAUUGCUGGAUGAAGCAAAUGACAAAGAUUGGACCUAAGAGAGCAUUACCUUGCAGUUUGUUAUAAGAAGAAAAGCUUCUACAGUAAUUACAUCAAGAAAAAGCUCAUUCUACACUAUGGAUUUUGUUCGACCAUCUAAAGCUGGAUAGCAAGGAACACGAUCACCUUAAACAUAGGACCAGAGCCAAAUAUCAAUCUUAGAAAGCUGGAUACUAAGGAACCAAAGCAGGAUACCAAGGAACAAGAUUACCUUAAACAUAAGACCAGAGCCAAAUAUCAAUCUUAGAAAGAAAGAAAAACCGGAUCGACCCCCAAUUCAGAUAAUAAAGUGAAAAAGUGGGGUUCAAUCCGUCAGCCAUCCCCCACCACACCCGCCCCUAUUAGACGGUACUUAAGUUAACCUUGGAAGGAAACCAAAAAAAAUCUUAGCUCUUGAGAAGUCAUCCACCCUGUGAUUCACGCAUCUUUUAAUACACUUAAUUAAUAUUACAGCACAGUAUUACAAUACAAUCUUUUAAUAUAUAUUACAGUAGUAAUAUAUAUAUAAUAAUUUAUGUUAU